UACGUAGGGGGCAAGCGUUGUCCGGAUUUAUUGGGCGUAAAGAGCGUGUAGGCGGCCAGGUAGGUCUGCUGUGAAAACUCGAGGCUCAACCUCGAGACGUCGGCGGAAACCAUCUGGCUAGAGUCCGGAAGAGGAGAGUGGAAUUCCUGGUGUAGCGGUGAAAUGCGCAGAUAUCAGGAAGAACACCGAUGGCGAAGGCAGCUCUCUGGGACGGUACUGACGCUGAGACGCGAAAGCGUGGGGAGCGAACAGG
rnacentral:rRNA from 1 species